GCUUUAUAAAGAAUAUUUCCAUAAAAAAUUGGAUGUGAAAUACCUGAACGUAUAAGAAGUCUGCAUGUUGAGCUAUAUUUACGAAUGACGUCCUUAUACCGAUGAUAAAAUUUAGUAAAUGUUUUGACUAGUUUGUGAUAUCGAAAACCCUGGUGUAAUAAUUUUUUCAGUAAUACAUAAAUUUCUCUCGUUAAAAUCUAAAACAUUGUUACAUACACGAGCGAAUCGUACAAGUUGAGAUAUAUAAACACCGUAAGAUG
rnacentral:lncRNA from 1 species